UUCUCACAUCACAAUCUAUGUGUGGAGUUCACUUCACUGACGGAAGGAAGUGGAAAAUAUGUCUUUGUCUUAUAUUCUUCUCAUUUAUGUUGCUGGUGUUGCGGUAAAAGGAAGUUGUGCAGAUUCAGUUCCCACUCCCACUAUUGUAUUUUCCCCUGGGUACAUCAAUGUAGCUACACCUGUUACAGUACACUGUGAGUCACCAGAAGGCACAGAGUGCAAUUUCUACAGAGAUCAUGACCCCAAACCUAUAAGAAAAGUGGAUUACAAGCAGGGUGCUUGCCAGUUCAAGUUGUUAUGGAAUGAGUUCAAAAAGUGGAACAAGACUGAAGUAGACCUCAGCUGUGUAAUUCUACAGAACAGACAAGGUGAAACGAUCAAAACCUCUAAACCUAGUGAUGCUCGAAGACUUAAUG